GAUAACUUCAAAAAAGUAGAUCUAACUUUAACAUUUAUAGUUUAUCUAUACAUAUUAUUUACUGGUCUGAUUUAAAGUAGCCGUAGUGAUGUGCAAAAACCUUACUGCAGACGUACUGAAGUGAGAUACAUAACAGUUACUAACUCGAGUCUCUAGCCAAUUACACUGUGGCCGAAGAAUAAGUCUGAGAACCAAUCCAUCAACAUGUGGAAACAAGUCAUAAAGGAGUUACUGCUAAUUGCAAUGAUUGGUUUUAUCACCUGUGAUAAUUUAACUAUUCAUACAGUAGAUAUUCCAUUGAGUUCAUCUCCCAUAAGCCCGACUGUGGAUGAACCAAACACCUUAUUAGGAAAUGAUGAUGUCAUUCUUGUGCUGUCACCUGGCAAAAUGGAAGGUUUGGUAGAAAAUCAUCAAAGAGAUGUAUUGGUUAAUUAUACAUUUGUGACCAAUGCUAAACAUAGUAUUUAUAACAUGCAAAUAGAUGUUGCUAAACCACAAGGACCAGAUAUCGUCAUGGUGAUGGGAAAUACUUCAUUCCUGUUAGAAAAUAUGCCUUUUGGGUCAAACAUGUCAGUUAGUUUCACACUGCGUGGACUAUUCCUUGGUAGAACCAGAUUAAGUUUGAACCUUCAACCAGUUGGACUUGCAACAUCAUCUAGCACUGAUGGGUACUCUAUUGACAAUGCCCCACAGCAAAGACAGUUGGCUGCAACCUACCAUGUAUCAGUGAUUCGUCAAAUCCGUGCCUUAGAUACAAUAUUCACUAUCGUGAUUAUAUUACUCGUAUGCAUCGCUCAAAUUGCUAUGGGCUGUAAAGUUGAUUUGGAUGAUUUCAAGGUCAUAAUGAAGCGCCCAAUUGCGCCAAUCAUUGGCUUCUGCUCACAGUAUGGUUUUAUGCCUGUGCUGGCUUUUGGUAUAGCCAAACUGAUGAAGUUGGACAGUAACUUGGCUCUUGGAUUCUUUGUGAUGGGAUGUGCGCCUGGAGGUGGGGGUAGCAACCUGUACACAUACUUGCUGGAUGGGGACAUUGGAUUGAGCAUUGCCAUGACUCUCAUUAGCACAGUUGCUGCACUAGGAAUGAUACCAUUAUGGUUGUUCACACUGGGAAGGCAGUUUAUCAACAAUAUUGAUGGUCUCAGAAUCCCUUUUGAGAACAUAAUUGGUACUCUCUUCCUGAUAGUCAUCCCAGUCACCAUUGGAAUUCUAAUCAAACGCAAGAAACCAGUAUGGGCAAAAAAAAUUGAAAAAAUUACCCGUCCUAUCUUUGUAAUUCUUAUCAUCUUUAUAUUUACAAUUGGUAUUUAUGCAAACCUGUACAUAUUCAAAUUAUUUUCUUGGAGAAUAAUGAUCGCAGGUGCAUUACUGCCAUAUUGCGGUUUUAUUCUUGGUGGUCUUCUUGCAUUUAUCUGUCGUCAGCCGUUUGAUAAAAUAAAAACCAUCUGUAUUGAGACGGGUAUACAAAAUACUGGGAUUCCCAUUUUACUCAUGAAAGUAUCGUUGAUGCAACCUGAUUCAGAUCUGUCAAUCGUGGCACCCAUUGCGUCAAGCUGUUUCACUCCAAUUCCUCUUUGGAUAGCAGUCGCUUGUUAUGAGAUCAAAAAACGAUGUUUUGAUAAAAAGAAGGAUUUUGAACCAGUUCUGAAUGAUGAGGAAAUUAAUGUCCUGCAUAAUGAUGAGACUGAUAUCAGUGGAAAACUUGAGAUGAAUGGUGAAGUCACUGAAAAUAACAGAGAGUUGAAACCUCUUAGUUAAAAUCUGAGGUGUAGUUUUACAGUAAAACCUGUGUAAGUUGGUUUUAAAUAGUUCCAGGUUUUACAGAACUUGUAUAUAAUUUUAGUAUUGUAUAUGAUUUUAGUCUUAAAGGUAAACAAUCAUUUGCUUUGGAAAUUCCUUGGAGGGGAUGCAUGACUAGCUGUAGAUCUGUACACUAAAGAUAUAUUAAUGUAUCCCAUACUUAAUUGAUAUGUACUGAUAUCAAACAAAUAUGGGUGAAAAUUGCAACAUAACGCUAUGUACUUUUUGGGAUUUGUGUGUAAGUAAUGGUUGUAAGAUCAAAAGGCAAAGAAUUGCUCAUCUUUUCAAACUAUACACAAUAUUUAAAAAUGCAAGAACAUUUACUAUGUGUUAUGAAACAGGGUGGUCAAAA
rnacentral:misc_RNA from 1 species